rnacentral:rRNA from 1 species
AGAGUUUGAUCCUGGCUCAGAUUGAACGCUGGCGGCAUGCCUAACACAUGCAAGUCGAACGGCAGCAUGAGGUGUAGCAAUACACCUUGAUGGCGAGUGGCGGACGGGUGAGGAAUGCAUCGGAAUCUGCCCAGUCGUGGGGGACAACGCAGGGAAACUUGCGCUAAUACCGCAUACGACCUUCGGGUGAAAGCAGGGGAUCUUCGGACCUUGCGCGAUUGGAUGAGCCGAUGCCGGAUUAGCUAGUUGGCGGGGUAAAAGCCCACCAAGGCGACGAUCCGUAGCUGGUCUGAGAGGAUGAUCAGCCACACUGGACUGAGACACGGCCCAGACUCCUACGGGAGGCAGCAGUGGGGAAUAUUGGACAAUGGGGGCAACCCUGAUCCAGCAAUGCCGCGUGUGUGAAGAAGGCCUUCGGGUUGUAAAGCACUUUUAUCGGGAACGAAACAUUGUCGGCUAAUACCCGGCAAGACUGACGGUACCCGAGGAAUAAGCACCGGCUAACUCCGUGCCAGCCGCCGCGGUAAUAC